UACGUAGGGGGCGAGCGUUGUCCGGAUUUAUUGGGCGUAAAGAGCGUGUAGGCGGUUCGGUAAGUCUGUCGUGAAAUCCUGAGGCUCAACCUCGGGCGUGCGAUGGAUACUGCCGGGCUAGAGGGUGGUAGAGGAGAAUGGAAUUCCCGGUGUAGCGGUGAAAUGCGCAGAUAUCGGGAAGAACACCCGUGGCGAAGGCGGUUCUCUGGGCAUUACCUGACGCUGAGGAGCGAAAGUGUGGGGAGCGAACAGG
rnacentral:rRNA from 1 species